AUGCCCAUCGUUUACUGUGAAAAAAUUAGAGUGUUCAAAGCAGGCUUAUGCCGUUGAAUAUAUUAGCAUGGAAUAAUGAGAUAGGACUUUUUCGCUAUUUUGUUGGUUUGCGCGAAGAGGUAAUGAUUAAUAGGGACAGUUGGGGGUAUUCGUAUUCCAUUGUCAGAGGUGAAAUUCUUGGAUUUUUGGAAGACGAACUACUGCGAAAGCAU
rnacentral:rRNA from 1 species